AAAAAGCCCAAUAACUCGCCAAAAUUUUCAAAAUUAAGUGUAAUAAUCGGUUAAAAAUCAGUAUAAUAUCCGAUUAAUCUGAUUACGCGGCCGAGUUAAUGGGAUCCGAUUAAGUAAGCUGCUUUGGGCUUAUUCGCCUCGGAACCCUAACGUCGAGCGCCUAGGCGGCCGAUUAUUCGGCUCGGCGCCCGCGUUUUUGAACAGGGUGUACAAGUUAGCCCAGUUUCUUGGCCAAGUCUCAAACGCUUCAUCUUUCCAGAGUUUGAAUCUAGCAGGAUCAACAAUGGUUGGCUGAAUAAUUUCCUUUGCCAGGAAAACUCAACAAGUAACAACAUUCACAUCAGAUUGAGCAGUGUUUGAUACCCAAUUUGCUCCUUUGUUCGUCGCAGCUACUCAUGGCAAAGCUUUGCAUAUCUCAACAACUGCAUCUAACUUUUUCUUUGAGCAGAGGAACUCUAGAUAAGCCUUUUGGUAUACAUAUACAGCAGGUCUCUCCCAUCCUACAUAAGUUAAGGGAAUUGAUGAGUCUGUUGCAAUAGCACUAGUUAUGAGAUGGAACUUAUUGCUCACCAACAGUUGAGGAGUCAGAUCUCUCGGCAUUGAGUGGGGCACCAAUGAUCAAUUCCACACCUUGCUGAAUACGGUGGAGUUGUCAAGACAAUAGGAUCACCACUCAUAUUUGCCUUUGGUUCACCAACGUUAACAAAGCUAGAUUGUUGCUCCUUGAAGAGAUCCAACUUUCCCGAAUGUAAGCUCCUGUGACUAUCUCUAGCACUGUCAGUUUUACUUAUGCUUGUUAUUUGUUAUGUUUGGCAGCCAUGGUAAUAUUUAGAGUUUAGAGGAAACCAAUUACUGCUAGUUAGUUCUAGUCAAAACCCUAAAAUAUUACAAGGUCAGUUGCAUUUUCUUGUGAAAUCAAUUAUCAUAUAUCUAAAUUUUGGACUAACUACAUGAGUAUUUCUUGUUUUGUCGACCUGACAUUGCUGGAGUUCAUGUACGUAUGCCUUUGUUUCAGUUUGAUGAAGUCAACUUGUUGUGUUAAUCCACAGUCAGUAGGUCUUAUGUAUACUCGGUUGUGGGUUAUUUGUCGACAUUGACGAGGUUUGUGUAAAAAGUGGUAGCUCUUAGCGCCUACCGUUUUCGUCAACGUCUUCACGGUCAUAUUUUUUGGGUGUCUAUUUAUGAGACUGAGAGAGAAGAGAGAGAGAUUAGAAUCUGAGGGAUGUGAGCGAAGAUUCUAAUCUCAUCUGUUUCUUUGAUUUUGGUGUUUCUCUUGUUGAAUUUGUGAGUUUGUGUUGUUAAUCAAUACGUUUGUGAGGUUUGAUCCUGGAUAAGCAAUAAAGAUACAGAGUUUUACUAUCAAAAGCUUAUCAGGUCACUGAUGGUAUCGUUUGAUUAAGAAGGCUUUCUAAAUUGGCUGCCCUGGUUCUAUUUGAUCAUCACUUUUUACGACUCUUUUGUUUGCCAUGAACAUUACUGUUGAGUUUGAGUGGCUUAGACAAAAGAAAUAUGAAGAGGAAGGAGUCAAUUCUGAUUGCAACAGUUGUCUCAAGUCUUCAAAGGAAAAGAAAAGACUCUAAAGCAUGUGGAGGGUCUGAGCACAAGCUAAAGUUCUCAUUGUUGCUUUAUCAUAUGGAGUUCGCGACCCUACUUGAAAGAGCCAAUGAGAGGAGUUCGUACAACCAGCUUGGAGACCAAGUUUAGGGACCACAAGUUUUGUCUCAUUUACUUCUAUUCAUUUAGGAGUAGACGAGAAAGAGGGAAGGAGUGCUAGGGUUGGGGAAAAGAGAGAGAAACAAGAAAGAGAGAGCUUUGUAAGUUACCGGAGAGGGUGAGAGAACAAAGCUGUAAUCUUGAAGUGGUUUAGUGGAUUUCCGGGAGGUUUCCCGGCGAGAUGUAGGUUCCGAACUCGUUAAAUCUUGUGUGCUCCCUUUAUUUUUCCAGCUCUGCAUCAUUCUUCUUUAACAGAUCUGCAUCAUAUUCAUAUUCUCUGCAUCUCCAUUGUUAAACACUUCUCUGUCUCUGCAUCACUUUCUGUUUCAGUUUGUUAGUCUCUGAUCUACAUUCUUCAAGUCAGUUCUUAAGCUUCAAGACUAGUAGUUGUGUGCUUGUGAGACAUAAAGCUUGGGUUAAGGAGAUUAAAACCUCACAAUUACUGUCACUGAUGAUCUCUUGUGCAGUAUGUUCUUGUAUGAUCUACGGUGAAGUAAAGGCUCCAACGGUUUCUGAGGUAGCGAAGCAAGAGUGCGCCGAGGAGGAGGAGGAACCGCAAGGUUGUGCCUCAUGUUACGUAGAACGUUUGAGGCGAAAUGAGACGCGGCUCCAAGGCUCAACGACGAUGACGAACCCGCGGCUGCUGUAUCUCGUUUGCCCGUUCGAGCGCGUCUCGUAGACGGUCUUUUUCUUCCUGUAAUGAUUUUGCCAAUUUCCUACGACAGUGUCUCCGCCACGCUGCUUGUACAAAAGACGCUCCCCAUGUUCUCCAUUGCACUGAGUAAAGCCUAACGACAUUACAUAAAAAGAGAUUGUAGUUCACCUUUAAUAAGCUGAGAGAGAGAAUGAGAAAGAGAACCUGAAAAGUAUGCUGGAGCUGCUUGUUAUGGAGGCGUCUGAAUUGUGAAGCGGCAGAUUUGAGAUCCUCUGCGGCAAGGGAAAAGGCUUCUACUUCGGUGAGAGCCUGGACUGUCCUUGUCGAGAUAGGAAAAUGCGACCAAGAUUGAGGAUCUAAAGCCCACGUUAGAAGAUGAUCUCCACAGAAAUCACUUGCCUUGAAAUGCACGACACUGAGGAACCCUGUUUGUCAUCCAUUGGUGGUCGCACUUAAAAGCUUUCCUCUCAUAACAAACACCAUUUCCCCAACAGGAUCUCCUUCACGGAUCACGUAUAGCUCUUGUCUGUGUAGAGGACCGGUUUUAACCUAUCGCAUACAGCGUCAAAUAAUUGCUCACCCAUUAUCUCA
rnacentral:lncRNA from 1 species